CCUCAUCAACCGCAUCAUUAACAAGGGGUUCUGAUCGAGGUCUGAAGACUGAUGGGUGUCUGAUCGAGGUCUGAGUACUGAUGCGGGUCUGAUCGAGGUCUGAAGACUGAUGGGGGUCUGAUCGAGGUCUGAGGACUGAUGGGGGUCUGAUUGAGGUCUGAGGACUGAUGGGGGUCUGAUCAUGGUCUGAGGACUGAUGGGGGUCUAAUCGAGCUCUUAGAGUCCUAAGACCUCGAUCAGACCCCCCAUCAGUCCAUCACCCCCAACCAAUGGAGGUUCGAUCAAGAUCUGAGGACUUACGGGGGUCUGAUCGAGGUCUUAGAACAGGGUCUGAUUAAGGUAUAGGUACUGAUGGGGGUCUGAUCGAGGUCUGAGGACGGAUGGGGGUCUGAUUAUGGUCUUAGGACGAAUGGAGGUCUGAUCCACCACACCGUCAAGACCGGACCGCGGACCGCGGCAAAUUUCAAAUAAAAAGACGGUAGAAAGAAAGAUGGUGAAAUUUGAGAAAAAGACGAAUGAAACGGAGAAAGUGAGAGAAAGAGACGGGUGAGAAACAUGAGGAACAAAAGGACAGAGGAAGUAGAGCAUUUAAUCCUCAGUGGACGGACUGGUUUCUGUUCAUACUGAACCAGCGUCCCACGAGCUCAGAACCCGUUGAAACGCCAUCAUGAGGCGCAAUGAGCUCCUCCAUCUGAGGAGGAGAACCUGAUGCAUUAAGACCAGGUUUAACAUCCUGGCGUCUUAAUUCUCCCACUUACCAAAAAAGUGGGGGAGCGUAUUAUAUAUAUAUAUAUAUAUAUAUAUAUAUAUAUAUAUACAUAUAUAUUCUAUUCAACUGUUGUUAAGAUGUGUUGCUGACUCUGUCAAGUCCAAAUGGGAAGCAGAAAAUGGGAAAUUCAAGCUUUUCUUCCCGUUAUUUUAUUUUUUCUGAAUUGAAGCACUUUAUCAUGAACGUUGACCGAUGACGUCAUAUAGACAUUUUGAUAUUUCAAGACAAGUUUAAGUUCGAAUAAUGUGCUAAUAUUUACACUAAUAUUAAUAACAUUUAUUAUAUUGAGUUAAAAUGUCUGGAAGGGGGAAGGGCAGGACCCAGACGAGCAAAAAUCCAAAAUCCGUGUGAACUAGAGCUGCACGGCGUGGCCACAAAUCCCUAUCAGGGUAUUUAGAAGGAUUCUGACGGCAUGUGACGCCAUCGCUUUCCAAGUAAAGAAACGGAUUCAUUGACCCUGAAACGGGCCGCGGCCACCCGAACAGCUGUUCGUCAUUGGCCAACUGGCCGGCGGGUUAGCGUGCUAGCGUGUUAGCUCGUUGUGGCUGCUAGCAGUGCCACCAGAGGCGCCACAGACUUUGCAACACAUCGUUUUCUGAUUUAACUUACAACCAAAAAGCCUCCAAACAGACUGGACUCUUCUGUUGGGCCCAAGUUGUGUUGGAGCAUCUCUGGUCUCCUUGUUCCUCCUUGUCGCUCUUUUCCCUGUUUCCAUGUAGCAGCAGUUACUUCUUGUUGUGAGCUUUACCCUACUUUUAUUUAGUUAAUUGGACAUUAUUUAUAUCUGCAGUCACGCACAUAUAUUAGGACUGUCAACGAAUGGUCUAUAUUUGAAUAUAUAUUCAAACAACUAUUCCAUGUGAAAUGUGUCUGCUUAGUGCGCCUGCCUGUACUGACUAUAUAUAGCAUGAAUAAAAUAGACUACAACAGCUUCAGAACUUGAUUAUUAUGUUGUUUCGUUUCAUUGUUUACAGCUCAGAUCGCUCGCUUCAACGUCGCUUCUGUAAAACCUUCAGUUUCAAUCUCUGAAUGAAGCCUGACAUGUGGGACAAGAAUCACCACCUUAAAUUGCACGAAACUCUUGAUCAGCACUCGUUUAUUGUUGUCGCUUUGCGAAUAUAUAUUCAAAUAUGUGUUUUUUAAAGCAAAUAUUCAUAUUUUUGAGCAAAUUGAGCCCAUAUAUAUGUUCAGUUUUAGAAUCAUACUGAAUUAAUUUGAUCUGUUAGUCGUGUAUUGAUUAAAUGCAAAUGUUGAUAGAACUCUUCCUCUGCUUAAUCACACUAAGUAGUCACAUUAUGAUCUUCUGGACCUUUGCUUCUCUAACUGGACCUCUUUUUAGUUAGGACCUCUGGUCUAGAGGAUGCUGCUGAUCUGGAUUUCUGAGCGAGGACUGAUGGAAGUCUGGAGGACCAGUAGAGAUCUGAAGAAUUCCUUGUGGUCUGCAGGACUUGGUCUGCACCUCCUUUUCUUCACAUUUCUCGUGGAUUUAAAUUCUGGUGAUUCUUUUGUUCUGAGAGAAGAAGGAUGUUUAUGAGGCUCCAGGUUCUGAUCCUGAUCUGCUUUGUGUUCAAGUUGACGGUCAUGUGAUUAGAUCAGGUACAAGGUCCAAGAAUAAACAUAACUAUAAACUAAUAGACAUGACAAAACAUGUGGAUCCUCGAUCCGGUUCUGACCCGGUUCUUUGGACCGACUCAGAUCUUUAGUCUCCACGUCGAGGCCACUUGGGGGUUCUGAUUUUCGGUCUUUCUUCCGUUUCCAUCUCGGUUGUUUUGGGGCUCUUUUGAAGAAAAAGACGGUCUAUAUUAUUAUUGAUCUGUUUAAUGAAAUGGACGUUACUUUUAUCUUAGAUCACGAUCAAUCUAAUUACAUCAUAAAGUAUUGAUCCUGGAAACGCUCCAUUCGCACUUCUACAACCUGGAGGUCCCAUCGCACCGAGGAAGACCCUGAUGAGACUCUAAUCAGACCCUGGCCCCGAUCGGACCUCGAUUGGUCCCUAAUCAAGACCCUGAUCGGACCGCUGUCGAGGUCUGAUGAGACCAAUAAGAACACCGUCAACCCCAAUUAGACCUUGAUAAGACCUCCAUUAGACCACGAUUGGACCGGAAGUAGACCCUGAUCAGACCCUGAUGAGACUAAUCAGACUACGAACAGACGUCGAUCAAAGCUUGAUCAGAUCUUUAUUGAUUAGAUGCAAUAAGGGUUAAAGAGUAAACAUCUCGGUUGGUCUAAAUCAAUGAAUUAUUGACGUCGGCGUCGAAUCGAUGCGUCUCGUCGUGAAUCCAUCGAGCGCGUGAGGACGUCGAUUUCCUCCAGCGUGUUCAGAGCCGAUAAACGAGCCGAUGAGUUCAGCGUUUAAACAUAAACGGGUGAAAAGCGUAAAAACGCCUCUGAACGCAAAUUCAGAGGACAUCGAUCUUUUAUUCAAAAAGAGCAGGAAAGAUGUUUAUUCAAGAAGAACAAAUCGUUUUACAUAUUAAAGAACUCAAGAAUAGAAUCAAACUCUAACUCUAGUCGGCGACAGGAAUCCGAGACGCUAACAUCAUGAACCCGGAUCCCAACACGCACUCCGAUGGAAAGCUCACAAAGCCAAACACAACUCCAACAAUUACACACAAAAUAUCAAAUGCAAAUUUCAGCCCAAACUGAACAACUCUGAAAAAACUGAGAAUAAAUUAUUAUUAUUAUGAAACAAAAGCUUCAGGAUGUGAUUUCAUGGGAGGCCAUUUUCGCUCCGCACGUUUCCUCCUUUUAGCCGGCGCUCGAUCCCAUUGGCUCUGACGGUUCCACGGAGAGGCGGGACUUAGGAAUCGGGGUAAACGGCACCUGGGAGAUUUUGGGCUGUACAAAAUAAAAUGCAUUGAAUUGAAUCUUUUGGGGGUAAAGUCCCUGUAUAUACUUACUUUUCUUUUUUGUUCUGUGUGCCAUACAAAUACACACAUACAUAUAUAUAUAUAGAUAUACAUAUAUAUGUAUAUGUGUGUGUACAUACAUAUGUACACACACACACAUAUAUAUAUAUAUACUCAUAUUUUUACAUCCAAGCUCACUUGCACUUUUCCCUUUUAUCAUAACAACCUUUGGUUUCAUAAAUAUUCAUUUUAAAGCAAUAAGCCAAUCCAAUCGGUUCUGAACCUUAAGGUUCUGCUGCAGGUUCUGGGUCAGAUUCUGGGUCAGGUCCGACGAGGAGGAACCAGAUUCAAUUAUUUUGUGUAAUGAACAGCGGGUACGCAGGGAGGGGCUCAGUGGGACCCAGUAAACCGGCAGGAGCAGGUCGACAGGUGACGGUUCCGACGGGUCCGCGUCUCCAACAGGACCCAAACAUGUGAUGUUAACUACACUUCAGGAGUCAUGGGUAAAUAUACGGACCAGCCUGAUGGGGUGUGUAGGGAUGAGUGGAUGGACACAAAGCGGGACAAACCAAGUAGACAGUGAACAGGGGGGAGUUUGGGCUCCGGGUUCGGAGGGGAGCGCUGCAUCGUGACUAUUUGGGUCCUGGAGGUCACGCUGUGUUUUUUGGGUUAAAAUUUUCUUUUCUUUUUUCCAUUUCUCAGUUUAGGAACCCAACAGAUUGCAUUCUGGGACAAUUUAGUGAGCUGUCCUUUUUGUUACUAAAGAAUAUACGUUAAUAAAGUUUAUAAAUGAAGAAUCUAUAGCAAGUUGUAGCUCUGCUUAUUUGAUGAAAUUGCACUUUCUAGGUUUGUGUCCUUGUGGUUGGUAAGUGGCCAUAAUGUGAUGUAAUGUAAGAUGAAUCAUCUUUAAUGGGUGUUUGCUUGUAAACAUUGUGAUCUAGUUUCUCCCGUGUGGAGGUCAAAGGUCACACGUCUCUUUGUGUGAGAAUAUAAACCCGGAUUACCCCCCCCGUCUAGACAGCCUCCUCUAUUGUUCACUGUGGUGAGUUGGUUGCUGUGUGCUUUGUGCAACCUGACUGCGUGUGUGUGUCGUCUUUGGGGUGCGCUUGGCGAUGUUGACCCGCGUGUCCCUGGUGGGUGGGUGCUGAGGAGAGAGCAGAAAGAAAAACGUUAUUCCAGAGCAGCAGAUCCAUCGUGUUCCUCUGGAGAGCUGAGAGACCCUUUGUCCUCGUGUGUGUGUGUGUGUGUGUGUGUGUGUGUGUGUGUGUGUGUGUGCGUGUGUGUGUCUGUGUGUGUGUGUCUGUGUGUGUGUGUGUGUGUCUGUGUGUGUGUGUCUGUCUGUGUGCGUGUGUGUCUGUGCGUGUGUGUGUGUGUGUGUGUUUGCGUGUGUCUGUGCGUGUGUGUGUGUGUGUGUGUGUGUGUCUGUGUGUGUGUGUGUGUGUCUGUGUGUGUGUGUGUGUCUGUCUGUGUGUGUGUGUGUGUCUGUCUGUGUGUGUGUGUGUGUGUGUGUCUGUCUGUGUGUGUGUGUGUGUGUGUGUGUGUGUGCGUGUGUCUGUGUGUGUGUGUGUGUCUGUCUGUGUCUGUGUGUGUGUGUGUGUCUGUCUGUGUCUGUGUGUGUGUGUGCGUGUGUGUGUGUGUGCGUGUGUCUGUGUGUGUGUGUGUGUCUGUCUGUGUGUGUGUGUGUGUGUGUGUCUGUGCGUGUGUGUGUGUGUGUGUGUGUCUGUGUGUGUGUCUGUCUGUGUGUGUGUGUGUGUGUGUGUGUCUGUCCUCUGUGUUAACCAGCAGCAGACUUUAGUGGACUUUAGUCCUGGUCUUCUCUGGUCUGGUGUGUGAGUUCUUAGCGGAGACGUCAGCUAGAAGGUCCCUUUUAUUUUGAAGUUGUGUUUUUAAAGUUGUUGUAAGUCAGACAGUAAAACUAGAACGUAAUGUGUGAACCAGAAGUCCAAGUUUACUUGUUUCUACUUGAUCGAGAAACCUCUCCUCUUACAGUCCUGGUUCUGGUUCCCCCAGGAUUCCCCUCCCUCCAGCGGGUCCUGCACUGCAUUGUGGGUCUCCAGAGAGCAGAAGAUCUUCUACUGGAGGAGCCUCUCCAAUGCUGGAGGAAGGGACUUUUAUUUAGAAAGGGCCGUUUAAUGGGUGCAUUUCCGGGUAACUAGUCAGUCACCUUGUGAGACGUAGUGCAGACUGUGUAGUUCCACCCAGCGGGUCAAACAGAUGCCCCCCCCAGGGGGUAACAGUACUGCGGUGGAUCUGACAGCCCCCCUGCAGACCUCCUCUCAUUACCCUGAGGAGGCUGCAGAGGGGAACUCUCAGGCUCCGGAUUAGCUUCAGUCUGCUGGCCCCCCAUGACGGAUGAGGGCGGAUUCCAUUCAGGGGAUUUACCACAGUGGUAUUUGGACAUUAUUCAACUGUGAGUCUUCUCGUCCGGAGGUUUAUAAAUACAACACAUUCAAUUCAUACGACAGGAAUGAUUCAAAUAACAGCGAGUAGUAACCACGUGUACCGCAGGACCACUGCAGGGACCACCACCAUCGCAUAGAACCACCAUCACAUAGAACCACCAUCGCAUAGAACCACCAUCGCAUAGAACCACCAUCACAUAGAACCACCGUCAGAUAGAACCACCGUCACAUAGAACCACCGUCAGACAGAACCACCUAAAAAGCUAAAGAAGAAGAAGUAAAUAGAAGAAGUGAGAUUCUGUCUGUGUGUGUGUGCUAACGAUGCUAAUGGAAACAGAUAGAGUUGAGUUUCAGCAUGAGAACAUGACGCCCCCAUCCGACCAUCAGUACGUUCUCGUCUGCAGCGCUGCAGGGGCUGCUGGGUAACGGCGUGGAGAGGCGUGUCAGCUGUGAUCUUGAAUAAAUCUUUUUGUUGCACAUUCAGAUCAGAGAGUAACGAAGCGUCUGCAGAACCUCCUCCUUUGUCAUGCAGGAAAUCUACUCAUGGUCAUCUGAUACCUAGUUAGUCAGUUAGUUCUCGAGUCUAUGGCUAACAAGUCUGUGGCUAACAAGUCUGUGGCUAACAAGUCUGUGGCUAACAAGUCUGUGGUUAACGAGUCUGUGGUUAAUGUGAGUUAAUGUAUAUAUAUAAAAUGUUUCCAUGGUUGUGUGUUUAUAAAAUA
ensembl:lncRNA